GACACUAUUGCUGGCCUGGGCAAAUGUGAAGGCCUAAUUAGUUUUUAUUUGUAUGUCUUUAGGUGACGCUUUUAUUCUGAAAAACACGCCCCGGAAGUCCUGUUUUGCAAGGAAGUUGAAAUGCAUCUAAACACAAGUCUUUAAAGCUGGAUCCGUGUUUCAUCAAGGGAAAUACACAAAGCAUGGAUAUCCUUAACAGACUGGAAAUCUACAUCCCAGUGGAAGCUGAGGUGAAAAACAUCCCUCUGUCGAGUUUACCAAACUCAGUGCUUACACGAAUGGGCCUCCCCUCGUCUAACUCUGACUCCAGGACUCUCACAGACUCUCCAGAAGGCAUAUGGAUUUGUCCAGCAGUGGUACGGAGGAAAGUCGAGAAACCGGCCUCCCAUACAGGAAGCGGGCUUAGCAUCGCGGAAGUACAAAGACGCUGUUGUCAUCUACCGCGGACGCGUUUACCUCUCCACCAGGAAGUCCAAUCAAAGCCGGAGUCAACAAGAGAUGCAUGAAGCACAGGCAACUUCCCAGUCUUCCAUUCCUAAAAGCCGAACAAAGCGCCAGUCUCCCCGGGCUUCUCUUGAACCUGCAGAUAAAGAACUACAAAGGAAGAAAUUGCAUUUCACUUUGCCCCAAACAUCCCCAAAAAAGCUAAAGGAUCUUCUCACAAAAACAGAGAAUCCCUCCACCACAGACCGGGAGCUGCUAAAUGACAAGAAGAAACACACCACAUGUAAAGUAACACACAGUGAAAACAAGAAGGGGAGUGAUGUAUCCUCAUCCACAACUGCACAUUCUGUCCCUCGGUCCACGGACGGUGUGCACAAACUGGACAGCUCUAGUCAUGAGGAUACUGAUGGAGAGCAGGCUGAAGCAGCAGGGAAAGAGACAGCUUGGUUUCAGGCUGGGUGGGAGCAGGAGGGGGUGACUGACAGUGGUGAAUGUGAGACACACCUGGGAGAUGAAGAAUCUGACUGUUUACAAAUUGACAGUGGUGAAGCUGACAACAUUGUUGGUAUUGCAGAGCAGAGUAGCAACCAUAGCUGGAGCAGUAGAGAGUUUCAGAGGGCAGCUUGUGCCUCCACUUCACGACAGGAGCAGUUUGACUUGCUGGCAAAAGAGGAGAAGAUCGCUCAAGUGAAGGCCAAACUCAAGCUGAGUGAAGCUGCUCUUGACAGCCUGAACUCCUGACAGCAACUCUAAUUAAACUCACAUGAGGAGCACUCUGUUCUAUGAAUGUGUUCACAUGCGCAUUAGUGACCUGGUAUAUCCAGAAUAGGAUUAAAAUUCAUGGAAAGUAAUAAAACCAGGAUACUAGUGUACAUGUAAACGUACUACUUUCAUUGUGUCAUCGUGGUGAUCUUUAAUUUUCAAGCCUAAUACAUCAUACCAAUAUUUAUAAUAGUGUUACUAUUAUCUGACUAUCUUGAGAAAUGCUUGUCAUAAUGGGACCAUUAUAUGUAGAUAGUAAUUUUUUCUCUCAACCCCAUUUGUUCCCAUUACUAGUUAUGUGACUUAUCAAAAAUAAAAAGUCACAUAACUAGUAAUGGGAACAUAUGGAACAUAUCUGUUACUGGAGACUCAACCAAGAGACUUUAUGUUCACACAAACCUCAGAUGGGCCUCUCUUCUCAUUUUGUGUAUAAAAAAGUGAUUGGGACUUUCUGAAGUCUGGACCCCUGAUGUAGUGACUCCCUCCCCCUAUACAUUCAACCUGUUGUUGAGUUUGCCUCCAGCAAUUGCCAAUAUCAUUUUGUUUCAAAUGUAUAUCAUAUUAGACACAUAGACACUUUUAGCCAAAUGUUUGUUUGGAAAUUAAAUCUCAUAGGAUAUAUUUCUAUUUCUGCAAAUCUUUGUUUGCAAUAAAGAAGUGUGUGUGCGUGUACAAAGUUGUGUACUUUGUUGUUAUUUAUAGGAGAAUUCAAUAGAUUAUCUCCCAGGUGUCCUGCAUCCAUCUGCUCCUCACAUACAGUGUGAAAUACAUGUGACUGUCUUGAUAGCUUUGACUGAGAUUUGGUUUGUUUGAUACAUCUGGUGGAUUAGCAAUGAGCCACCUCCAGUAGGUUAAUUUAUUUUGGUUUUUCUGCGUAAUUCGAUCAAUUGAAAAUGUGUUUGGAAAUUGUCCAACUAUUUCUGUGACUUUAUGCCAAACAGCUCUUCUCUUGCUCUGAAUUGUUAUUGUACACAUAAAACUAGAAUGAUUUAUAUGAGCGAGGGCUGCUAUAUGUUUUGCAAACCACCAGAUGUAACUGCUUGCUGCGUUUAAAGUAAAAAAUCAAAAUAAAAUGAAGCUGUGAUGACUCCUCCACUCCACUAGGGGUCUCUGUGUUCUGUGCUUGCUGGCACCAGAUCGUCAGCUUGAUGAGCCACACCUGGGCCCGCUGUGGUUCAGGAUAUAAAGCUCACCACCUUCCUACAGCACUCCACCUCUCUUCCUUCAGACACAGCUGUGGUUCUAGUCACGCCUACCUCACCCACUAUCCCACAGUUAUGGUGGCCCUGGAAACUCAACUCCAGAAAACACAUACAAGUAGAUAAAGCACA
ensembl:lncRNA uncharacterized LOC115018137